ACAGGGAUGCCCUAGUAACGGCGAGUGAAGCGGCAACAGCUCAAAUUUGAAAUCUGGCCUCUUUGGGGUCCGAGUUGUAAUUUGCAGAGGGCGCUUUGGCGUUGGCAGCGGUCCAAGUUCCUUGGAACAGGACGUCACAGAGGGUGAGAAUCCCGUACGUGGUCGCUGGCCUUCGCCGUGUAAAGCCCCUUCGACGAGUCGAGUUGUUUGGGAAUGCAGCUCUAAAUGGGAGGUAAAUUUCUUCUAAAGCUAAAUACUGGCCAGAGACCGAUAGCGCACAAGUAGAGUGAUCGAAAGAUGAAAAGCACUUUGGAAAGAGAGUUAAAAAGCACGUGAAAUUGUUGAAAGGGAAGCGCUUGCAGCCAGACUUGCCUGUAGUUGCUCAUCCGGGUUUUUACCCGGUGCACUCUUCUAUAGGCAGGCCAGCAUCAGUUUGGGCGGUUGGAUAAAGGUCUCUGUCAUGUACCUCCUUUCGGGGAGAACUUAUAGGGGAGACGACAUGCAACCAGCCUGGACUGAGGUCCGCGCAUCUGCUAGGAUGCUGGCGUAAUGGCUGUAAGCGGCCCGUCUUGAAACACGGACCAAGGAGUCUAACAUCUAUGCGAGUGUUUGGGUGUCAAGCCCGAACGCGUAAUGAAAGUGAACGGAGGUGGGAACCUUUCGGGGUGCACCAUCGACCGAUCCUGAUGUCUUCGGAUGGAUUUGAGUAAGAGCAUAGCUGUUGGGACCCGAAAGAUGGUGAACUAUGCUUGAAUAGGGUGAAGCCAGAGGAAACUCUGGUGGAGGCUCGCAGCGGUUCUGACGUGCAAAUCGAUCGUCAAAUUUGGCA
rnacentral:rRNA from 1 species